UACGGGGGGGGCAAGCGUUGUUCGGAAUUACUGGGCGUAAAGGGCUCGUAGGCGGCCAACUAAGUCAGACGUGAAAUCCCCAGGCUCAACCUGGGAACUGCGUCUGAUACUGGAUGGCUUGAAUCCGGGAGAGGGAUGCGGAAUUCCUGGUGUAGCGGUGAAAUGCGCAGAUAUCAGGAGGAACACCGGUGGCGAAGGCGGCAUCCUGGACCGACACUGACGCUGAGGAGCGAAAGCCAGGGGAGCAAACAGG
rnacentral:rRNA from 1 species